rnacentral:rRNA from 1 species
GCAAGUCGAGGGGUAACGGGGUGCUUGCACCGCCGACGACCGGCGCACGGGUGCGUAACGCGUAUACAAUCUACCUUUUACAGGGGGAUAGCCCAGAGAAAUUUGGAUUAAUACCUCAUAGUAUAUAGACUUGGCAUCAAGAUUAUAUUAAAGAUUUAUCGGUAAAAGAUGAGUAUGCGUUCUAUUAGCUAGAUGGUAAGGUAACGGCUUACCAUGGCAACGAUAGAUAGGGGCCCUGAGAGGGGGAUC